UUUUCUUCUUCUGAAAGUCGCAGCUGUCCAAGUUGGAGUGUCCCCUCUUGUCACACACCGUCCGGCCAAUUUCCACAUUGAGCAUGUAUUUCAGCCCUCUGACCACCUAGAGGAAGCAGUUUCCAGCCAAAUACCCGGUCUGCAGGCAGCUGUUUCAAAUUUGGGAAGAACUGAAAAAGGGAAAGGUGUAGAAGGAGAAGAAAUCCAGUUUCAAAUGGAAACAGAUUUAUAAUCUGGGGCCCCAGCCUUGGAAACAUCUGAUCUAGCGACCCCAUUGUGGCUUAACGCUCACCAACACCUAUUGAGUCACAGCCUCUUGUAAGAGUGGUGAAACAGCUCUCUGCCUGGCUAGGGAAUCACACAAAAGGCAUGUGAAGAGCUUUAAAUGUCCUGCCUUGAAAAAAGGGGAGGCCAGUGUCAGAAGAAGUCUCUCAACUAUGACUCCAGCUUCUAACUGAUCAUAUUGGACAGAUUAAGUUUCCUUUCAGAUGAAAGAAGGAUGCCCGGAUACCCCAAGCAGUGGGCACAUUAGAAACACAUAAGUAACCUUGGUGCAUGGUGGGAUGGACGCAGAGAGAUUGUAUCUUCAUAUGAUUCAAAAGUGAUUUGUACUAAAAGUUUAUGGUUUGCCAGUGAUGGUGGGCAAACCUCAAGCAGAUUGAUUCUGAUCAGAUCUCUUGGGAGUCUCACUAGAGCAGGCUGGUGUGUGUGUCAUAAAUAUCUCAACCCAAGGCACAGGGCAACUGCAGAGUUAAUUGCACUAAUAAUAGUCGUCAUCAUCCCUAGCUCUUAUAUAGCACUUUUCAUCCAUAGAUUUCAAAGCACGUCAUGAAGGAGGAGGUCAGUAUCAUUAUCCCCACCUUACAGAUGGGGAAACUGAGGCAGAGGCUGGUGAAGUGACUUGCCCAAGGUCACCCAGCAGGCCAGUUAUUCCAUCGGAACCAGUUUGCCCAGCCCAAAGCCCAUAAUUCACAUCAAGCGAUGCAGCCAUAGCUGUGAGUCCCACACCACAACCUUCCUGGCAAGGUCAGUCCCAAGCGGAGUCUCCUCUCCUUUGUGCAGAGGGGGCGUGCGGGAGCGGGGAGGUCCUCCCGAUGGCCUGGAUUGUUCAUUGAUGCACGACUGAAGCUGCGUUCCCUAAAAUACCAAGUCACAGGUCAGAGGCAGGAUGACUCAGUGGCUGGGGCGCUAGGGUGGGGCUGAGGAGACCCCACUUCCAGUCUCUGCUGUACCACAGACUCUCUGGGAGAGCUGGAGGUCAGCCCACAUGAUCAGUCUCUCGGAGCCUGUGACAGGGAAAUAAGCUCCCAGGAGUAUUGUGAGGUGCAGCUCAGAUACGAGAGUUACAAGGGCCAUGCACAUAACAGGGCUGUGUACUGGAGCUGGCUGCAGCCCAGUCCGAUUUUAGCCAACAGGCUAAAGACAUCUUGAUCGGUUCUACACACCUCGCCACAUCUUUCCUGUGUAGCCCUGUGGCUGCUGGCUAGCUGUGACAGGCCCCACGGCAGUUUUAAUGGAAAGGGUAUCGCCUCACUGAUGGCUGCAGGGGGAAAGUGUAAUCCCAGUCCUGCCUGUCCUGGGCAGGGGUGUCAUUUCAGAAAGAUUCGGGGGGGAUAAAGUGGAGUUUGCAUAUAGAACAUGCUGUGUGAUUCUGUUACAUCCUGCACAGCUGGGAUGGGGCGGUGGCAAGGGGAGAGUGGAAGACACACAGACCUAUGAGAAAUUGAGGGGAGGGGACACAAUCUGGGGGAAGAGGGACAGUUGCCUGACCCCAAAGCAACUGACACUUCUGUUCCUAGGCAUUAGCGAGACACAUGACACUCUGGCUGGAACUAGUUGACUGUUCUAGCCCCACUUCUCGCCCUGGGGAGAGGAACAGAGAACAGAUAUGUGGCAGAUGUUAAUCACGGUGCUUAACAACCGGAAAGCACUCAGAUACUGCAGUGAUGAGCAUGGUAGAAAAACCUAUAUAGGCUAGAACAGACGGGUGGUCGCCCUACCCGAGCAAUCAAAUGCUUGUAUUUCAAUCUCCAUCUUCUAUCCAUGUCAGCUUUUACUUCCCAGAUGGGAGAGCAGGAAGAGAGUGACUGUAUCUUGCCUUCCUCAGUCCCUACCCCCUAAACACCUGUUGUUCAGAGACAAAAGCUAGAGGGUACGAGCAGUAAGGUCGCCACUUUUCCUUUGCCAGAGUUAAAGGCAACCACUCCGUACUAAGUCAUAGAUAUCCGUUCUUAUAGAGAUGGGCUAAGUGCUCAGGGCCUGACUGGGUGCAUUGAAAUGGCCUGAAGUAUCCUUGUGCUCUCCGUAGUCAAGGACGGUGUGGGCCUUGUCCACCAUGGUAAGUUAGAGCAGCCCUGGGGCUACCCUGACUGGUGCUCUCCUCCCCACAGGCCCUGAGAAAUACAGAAAAGGGGUCCAGUGCUCUGCAGCCCCACUCCUCAUAUCCCAAGAGCAAAGCCCUUGUGCCAGCAGGGGCCUCCCUCUGUACAGAGGUCAUCCUCAGGGGCUGUUUCCACAGACUGAGAAUGAGGCCAUCAGAUCCUUGCACCCUAAACGUCAAGCCUCAUAAAAUUCAGAUCCAAAUUCUGCAGCUGAGGCCCAGAUGUGGUUUCUUAUUUGGUGGAGUGAGGCUGGUAGAUGAAGCUAACCUUGCUAAGCUUUGCGCACUGGUGACAAGAACAGAGGCGCAAACUCAGAUAGACAUUAAACGUGUUCCUUGCUGGGGAAGAUCUGGGCAGAGGUAGAUUUGUAAGAAGAAGCCAAUUUUCAACAUUCCCCUCUCACUUUGAGGAACAAGGCCACGUUUUAUUCAGACGCUUAAAAAGAAGCAGACCUCUUUGCAGCCCUCUUCAACCCCAGAAGGAAACCACAGCUGAAGCAGAGAGCUAUCAAUUCAUCUAGCAACGUGUUACCAGAAACCAUAGGAGCCCCAGUCGCCUUUUCUCUGCAUUAGUAUCAACAUAAAAAUACAAGUCCUAAAAAACAAAGCGCCUUUGAAGUUACCACUCUAAAGAUUUAAGGCUAGCGGUAAUCAAGGGAGUUUCCUGGAUCAGCAGAGUAUGCAAGGAGCCAAAGGAAUGCUUCAUUAGAGUCUGCUAAUCA